CCUACGGGAGGCAGCAGUGAGGAAUAUUGGUCAAUGGGCUUACGCCUGAACCAGCCAAGUCGCGUGAGGGAAGACUGCCCUAUGGGUUGUAAACCUCUUUUGUCAGGGAGCAACGCCGGCUACGUGUAGCCGGACGGAGAGUACCUGAAGAAAAAGCAUCGGCUAACUCCGUCCCAGCAGCCGCGGUAAUACGGAGGAUGCGAGAGUUACCCGGAUUUAUUGGGUUUAAAGGGGGCGCAGGCGGAUGUUAAAGCCAGGGGUAAAAUUUAGAGGCUCAACCUCUGCGAGCCGUUGAAACUGGUUUUCUUGAGUGGGAGAGAAGGAUGCGGAAUGCGUGGUGUAGCGGUGAAAUGCAGAGAUAUCACGCAGAACUCCGAUUGCGAAGGCAGCAUACCGGCGCUCAACUGACGCUCAUGCACGAAAGUGUGGGUAUCGAACAGGAUUAGAUACCCCUGUAGUC
rnacentral:rRNA from 1 species